UGAGUAACACGUGGGUAACCUGCCUGUAAGACUGGGAUAACUCCGGGAAACCGCGGCUAAUACCGGAUGCUUGUUUGAACCGCAUGGUUCAAACAUAAAAGGUGGCUUCGGCUACCACUUACAGAUGGACCCGCGGCGCAUUAGCUAGUUGGUGAGGUAAUGGCUCACCAAGGCAACGAUGCGUAGCCGACCUGAGAGGGUGAUCGGCCACACUGGGACUGAGACACGGCCCAGACUCCUACGGGAGGCAGCAGUAGGGAAUCUUCCGCAAUGGACGAAAGUCUGACGGAGCAACGCCGCGUGAGUGAUGAAGGUUUUCGGAUCGUAAAGCUCUGUUGUUAGGGAAGAACAAGUACCGUUCGAAUAGGGCGGUACCUUGACGGUACCUAACCAGAAAGCCACGGCUAACUACGUGCCAGCAGCCGCGGUAAUACGUAGGUGGCAAGCGUUGUCCGGAAUUAUUGGGCGUAAAGGGCUCGCAGGCGGUUUCUUAAGUCUGAUGUGAAAGCCCCCGGCUCAACCGGGGAGGGUCAUUGGAAACUGGGGAACUUGAGUGCAGAAGAGGAGAGUGGAAUUCCACGUGUAGCGGCGAAAUGCGUAGAGAUGUGGAGGAACACCAGUGGCGAAGGCGACUCUCUGGUCUGUAACUGACGCUGAGGAGCGAAAGCGUGGGGAGCGAACAGGAUUAGAUACCCUGAUAGUCCACGCCGUAAACGAUGAGUGCUAAGUGUUAGGGGGUUUCCGCCCCUUAGUGCUGCAGCUAACGCAUUAAGCACUCCGCCUGGGGAGUACGGUCGCAAGACUGAAACUCAAAGGAAUUGACGGGG
rnacentral:rRNA from 1 species